rnacentral:rRNA from 1 species
UGCGUAGGCGGGCUAAUAAGUCAGUAGUGAAAUCUCUCGGCUCAACCGGGAAACCGCCAUUGAUACUGUUAGUCUUGAGUUCGGUUGAGGUAGGCGGAAUGUGUAAUGUAGCGGUGAAAUGCUUAGAUAUUACACAGAACACCAAUUGCGUAGGCAGCUUACUAGACCGACACUGACGCUGAGGCACGAAAGCGUGGGGAGCGAACAGGAUUAGAUACCCUGGUAGUCC